UACGGAGGGGACUAGCGUUGUUCGGAAUUAUUGGGUUUAAAGGGUCCGUAGGCGGGCUAUUAAGUCAGUGGUGAAAGUCUGCAGCUCAACUGUAGAAUUGCCUUUGAUACUGAUAGUCUUGAGUUAUAGUGAAGUUGCCGGAAUAUGUAGUGUAGCGGUGAAAUGCUUAGAUAUUACAUAGAAUACCGAUUGCGAAGGCAGCUCACUAAGUAUACACUGACGCUGAUGGACGAAAGCGUGGGGAGCGAAC
rnacentral:rRNA from 1 species